CUCAGUUAUCUGCCCUGGUUUGAGAUCUAUUACAAGCUCCUGAACACGCUAGCAGAUUACCUAACCACAAACCAGGAGAAUGAGCUGAAUGACAUGCUGAACUCUCUGUACAGUCUGCCGGUGCCAAAGCCUUUCACCCCCGUCAACCUGAGUGUGCACUCCUACUUCAUAACACCAGAUAUCAACGGCCUGCCCACCAUCCCCGAGAGUAGGAACCUGACAGAGUAUUUUGUGGCGGUGGACGUCAACAACAUGCUACAGCUGUACGCCAGCAUGCUGCACGAACGACGCAUCAUCAUUACCUCAAGCAAG